rnacentral:rRNA from 1 species
UACGGAAGGCAGCAGUGGGGAAUAUUGCACAAUGGGCGAAAGCCUGAUGCAGCUAUGCCGCGUGUAUGAAGAAGGCCUUAGGGUUGUAAAGUACUUUCAUCGGGGAGGAAAAACAAAACUAAUAAUUUUAUUUCUUGACGUUACCCGAAAAAGAAGCACCGGCUAACUCCGUGCCAGCAGCCGCGGUAAUACGGAGGGUGCUAGCGUUAAUCAGAAUUACUGGGCGUAAAGAGCACGUAGGUGGUUUUUUAAGUCAGAUGUGAAAUCCCUGGGCUUAACCUAGGAACUGCAUUUUGAAAACUGAAAUACUAGAGUAUCGUAGAGGGAGGUAGAAUUCUAGGUGUAGCGGUGAAAAUGCGUAAGAUAUCUGGAGGAAUACCUGUGGCGAAAAGCGGCCUCCUAAAACGAAUAACUGACACUGAGGUGCGAAAAGCGUGGGGAGCAAAACAGGGAUUAGAUACC